AUGAGUGAACCAACUGGUCUUGCCGAGGCUUUCGAGAAGCUCGCUAAGAUCCUCGCUGAGUCCAACUCGGGGGCCAUCGUUCCUCGACAGGAAGUGGCUCAGAAGCUCGAAAUGUCACCCCUGGACAUGAAGCUGGAGGGGGCCACAAAUUAUUUUAGUUGGUCCAGGAGGGCAUUGCUGGCUGUGGAACAGAAAAAACUUGAUGGGCACUUAUUGGGUGCGGUUGAUGAACCAGGAGACAAGACUACCGCUGAGGGAAAGAGGUGGAAGGUCAUAAACUCCGUGCUCGUUGGCUGGUUGUUGAACUCAGUGGUGCCCCCCAUUGGACGCUCUGUGGAGGGACUAUCCACGUCCGCCGAGAUGGAAGACUUUAUCCACCCAAUACUCAGGCAAGGGUAA
rnacentral:rRNA from 1 species